GUCACAGGCACAGUCGCUGAAGCAGCCGGUCCGGAAGGAAGCUGUGGGUGUCCCGCCUGUCUCCACGACCUCCUCCCACCCAAUUCAUGGACAGACUGCCAUUAUUAUGGACCCAUUUCCAGGAUGUGUACUCGUCCCUCCUCACUGACUGACCUCUCACCGUGUGCCAGGCCCGUGCCAGGCUCGGGCAUGGGGUUGGGCAGGAGGAAAGCGAGGCUGGGAAGGGAUGGUGUUCAUGGACUCCUUGCCCUUUCAGCUCUUUUCUUACCUGCCCAGGAAGCUGAUGUGUGUGCUGCCUCGCCGAACACUCUCUAGUCUGUACAAACUCAAUGGAUGCUUACGUAAGGCGCGCCUUGGUCUCAUGACUUUUCUUAUCCACUUGACCUCGAUCGGCACCACCAAUUCUUCCUUCCAGCCAACAGUAAAUAACAACAGCAGGAAGCUUUACUCCAGAAAGCAUUAAUAAGAUAUUUUAAUGAAGG